GACAGAGGUGGCAAGCGUUGUUCGGAAUCAUUGGGCUUAAAGGGCGCGUAGGCGGCCCGUCAAGUGUCUUGUGAAAUCCCUCGGCUCAACCGAGGAAUCGCUGGGCAUACUGUCGGGCUUGAGGCAGGAAGAGGCGAGUGGAACUCUUGGUGGAGCGGUGGAAUGCGUAGAUAUCAAGAGGAACGCCGGUGGUGAAGACGACUCGCUGGGCCUGUCCUGACGCUGAGGCGCGAAAGCCAGGGGAGCAAACGGG
rnacentral:rRNA from 1 species